GUCCCAGUAGCGCAAUGGGUAGCGCUUUGGACUACUAAUCAAAAGGUCGUGUGUUCGAAUCCCUCCUGGGAUG